CAGGACAAAAGAGAGGAACGGUGCCUCAAACAGAGAAAGGAACACAGAAAAGACAGAAAGGGAAAUACCAUCAAAAUCAAAACAAGAAAUAAACUAAAAAGGAGUUACCUGUACUUACACUAGUGAUGUUUGUUUAAUACACCAGUGGAACAGGAGAUUUUUAAAACAUAUUUGUCGAACUUACAUGGUUCAGAUGAUCAAAGAACUUUGGUUGUAAUUCAGUCACAUUGGAAGGUUUUUGAGCAUGAAUGGUUUGUUGAGCUUCAGGACAUGAACUGAUGGCCUGACAUUCUCCUUUAGGAUUGUCCAGUAGAGAACUGAAGUCAUUGAAUUGUCAACUAUGACAAACCAUUCAGGUCGUGAAGCAGCAAAGCAGCUGCCUGCAGCAGGGCUGGAGGGGUUGGACGGGCACACAGGGUCCUCGGAGAGGAUGGAGGUCUGGCUGGAGGGCACGAGGCAGAAAGAAGAGGGAAGGUGAGGGUGGAGGUGGAGGAUGGGGGGAUUGGAACUGGAACAUGAGUUGGGCCGAGCAGCGUGGAGAGAAGCCAGAGCGGCAACCUGCAUCAGAGGUCACCCCGCCUCCACCCUCUGCCACGGCCAACCACAACCCCAAAUCAUCCACCGGAGGGACCGGAGUGACCCUGCGUGGCAUCAGAGGGUUCGGCUGGCAGGGAAAAUGGUGGCAUGCAGGCAGCUGAAAUCCUGUUUUCGGUUUUAUUUCCUCCAGACUUUGGAGUCUGUGUUUAUCAAGCAGCUCAGAGUCACUCAAAGGAAUCACUCUGAGAGUUAACCUGAGGCUAGAAACACUUGAGCAGAAUUUGAGGCUUUUAUGAAGUUUCCAACCGUGGCAAACAACUCGUGGCAGAGAAAGUGUUUGAACACAUUCAAAACCACAGAUGGCACGUUUUUUAGCAGCUCGGUUGGUGCCACAUUUUUCUGUCCAAACUGAAAUACCUCCACAACUUGUUUUAAACAUCACCCCUGCGGACUCGGCAGACCCUAAGGUCCAUGUGUAUUUGUAAAAUAAACAUUAUUUCCAUCUGCAGUCAUUUAGGCUUGGUGGCAUGGCUCCGUUCUGGGACCUACUCAUAAAUAUACUGUUUUUUUGUAAAGAAAAAUAAACUAAAUAUUUCUGGCAUGCCCAACUUCAAAAAACUUCAGAAAGGUUCAUAGCCAACAGAGAAAGGCUCCAGUUGAACUUAAAAGUAAAAAUACAAGUUAAGAUUAUAGCAUCAGUAGUUUCUUGUUUGAGAACAGCUGCUGUCUUGAUAGAUGGCACAUUUCAUGUAUAUGUCAAGUGUAAAUAUGCUGAGUGUGCAAAAAAGAACAGCUUCGAAUAUCACGGCUUAAACAUAAAACGUGUUUAAGGUGGAAAAUGUUACUCAGCUGUGACCCUGCAGCUUUCCAAUCAGCCCGAUCCAAUCACCUCAUUGUAUAAUGGCCAUGAUAGAGCUGCACGGUGAAUUACUGCACUGCAGCACUCAACAUUGUUUCCACUGCCUCAUGUUGGGAAAUAUAGCAUAAUUAUAUGUAAAUAGUAUA